rnacentral:lncRNA from 1 species
UGUUAGUAAAUAUUUAUAUAUGUGGUACUUAUGUUUUUUUGUAGGCUUUUUGUUUUUGAGGCUUAAUAGUUUGUAAAUUCAAAAUAUUUUUGUGAAUCCGGGAAUUAUAUUUAAGUUUUUCUCUUCUUUUUUUCUUUAUGAUGCAUAAUUUUUUAUUUUUUCUAAAUUUGGUCUAAUUGUCUGUUUUUCCUAAUUUUAAUUUGACGUGGUUAUCAAAAAAUGACAUGCUGGACACACUGAACACACCCGACAAUCAAUUUUUUUUUCUUAAAGAGGAUCAAUAAUGGUUCUCAUUUUCCCCCUUAGUGACUCGACUCGAACUUCCCGUCUAUUGAUUGGAGGGAAAGCGUCUUACCAAUUGAGUUAUGUUUUGUUGUCACAACCAAGCGAAAUGAUUGAUUAUUUGUAAAUUCAAAAUAUUUUCA